UACGUAGGGGGCGAGCGUUGUCCGGAGUUACUGGGCGUAAAGCGCACGCAGGCGGUCUGCUAAGUUUGGAGUGACAGUUGGUGGCUUAACUGCCAAAGUGCUUCGAAAACUGACAGACUUGAGGGCUUCAGAGGGACACGGAAUUCCGGGUGGAGUGGUGAAAUGCGUAGAGAUCCGGAAGAACACCGGUGGCGAAGGCGGCCUGCUGGGCAGUUGCUGACACUGAGGCGCGAAAGCGUGGGGAGCGAACAGG
rnacentral:rRNA from 1 species